rnacentral:lncRNA from 1 species
CCAUGCUAAUGACUUUCUACAGUAUCUAAUUGAGGUGCUUAUCAUAUUUAUUAUGUGGCUAGAUCAGAUUAAUUAUCCUUGUCACUAUUCAUUAUUUCAUAUAUCUUUUAUGUGACACUUAUCCCUAUAUGAUGAGUUAGAUAUAAUGUUCUCAAUUAUACAUGCAAUGAUAGAUGCUCAAUCUCAUACUCUAUUCUGUAAUCAAUAUUGAUGAUUGCUAAUCCCUUCCCAGUGGUGAAAAUAUAAAUAACGAUACCUGGAAUACUUCCCGGUUAAAAUGCUGCAUCGGUAUUAAUCUGUGCGCAUGCAGAUCCCAUUCAUUAUUUAUUUAGAAGAGCAAUUGCAUAUUUCAAUGCCGCGUCUCUUAUAUCAUGCUGGGGAUGACAACUUGGCUUAAGUGGUGUGAGGGAUAGGUUUGGCAUUUUUGGCACCGUUACUAGAUUUAGAGAACUU